rnacentral:tRNA from 1 species
GGCACCAUAGCUUAGCUCCCUAAAGGACUUUCCUACUAAACAAGAGAUCCUGGGUUCAAGUCCUGGUGGUGCCU